GCGGGGGUAGCCGAGCCUGGCCAAAGCGCGGAGAUGCAGGUGUCCCGGCCCGUAGGGUUCCGGGGCUCCCCGCCCCCGCACCA
rnacentral:tRNA from 1 species